rnacentral:rRNA from 1 species
ACUUUCAGUCGUGAGGAAGGUAGUGUAGUUAAUAGCUGCAUUAUUUGACGUUAGCGACAGAAGAAGCACCGGCUAACUCCGUGCCAGCAGCCGCGGUAAUACGGAGGGUGCGAGCGUUAAUCGGAAUUACUGGGCGUAAAGCGCAUGCAGGUGGUUUGUUAAGUCAGAUGUGAAAGCCCGGGGCUCAACCUCGGAAUUGCAUUUGAAACUGGCAGACUAGAGUACUGUAGAGGGGGGUAGAAUUUCAGGUGUAGCGGUGAAAUGCGUAGAGAUCUGAAGGAAUACCGGUGGCGAAGGCGGCCCCCUGGACAGAUACUGACACUCAGAUGCGAAAGCGUGGGGAGCAAACAGGAUUAGAUACCCUGGUAGUCCACGCCGUAAACGAUGUCUACUUGGAGGUUGUGGCCUUGAGCCGUGGCUUUCGGAGCUAACGCGUUAAGUAGACCGCCUGGGGAGUACGGUCGCAAGAUUAAAACUCAAAUGAAUUGACGGGGGCCCGCACAAGCGGUGGAGCAUGUGGUUUAAUUCGAUGCAACGCGAAGAACCUUACCUACUCUUGACAUCCAGAGAACUUUCCAGAGAUGGAUUGGUGCCUUCGGGAACUCUGAGACAGGUGCUGCAUGGCUGUCGUCAGCUCGUGUUGUGAAAUGUUGGGUUAAGUCCCGCAACGAGCGCAACCCUUAUCCUUGUUUGCCAGCGAGUAAUGUCGGGAACUCCAGGGAGACUGCCGGUGAUAAACCGGAGGAAGGUGGGGACGACGUCAAGUCAUCAUGGCCCUUACGAGUAGGGCUACACACGUGCUACAAUGGCGCAUACAGAGGGCGGCCAACUUGCGAAAGUGAGCGAAUCCCAAAAAGUGCGUCGUAGUCCGGAUUGGAGUCUGCAACUCGACUCCAUGAAGUCGGAAUCGCUAGUAAUCGUGGAUCAGAAUGCCACGGUGAAUACGUUCCCGGGCCUUGUACACACCGCCCGUCACACCAUGGGAGUGGGCUGCAAAAGAAGUAGGUAGUUUAACCUUCGGGGGGACGCUUACCACUUUGUGGUUCAUGACUGGGGUGAAGUCGUAACAAGGUAGCGCUAGGGGAACCUGGCGCUGGAUCACCUCCUUAAACGAUGAU